rnacentral:lncRNA from 1 species
GUCACAGUGAAUCCUCCACCUGCUGUGCUCUGAAUGUUGCAGAUCUUUGGCAUCUGUCACAGACUUCAUGAUGUAAAGGCCACAAUGUCACAGUUAAAUUCCACCCAAAAUGUUGUGAGAGACAAUACUUUCUGUUCUCAGUAUAUGUCUACCUGGAAAUCUGGGGUGGAAUAUGAGAAGUCAAAUGAGAAAGUAUGGAAGACAAGAUGUCUGCUUGACAGUUUCUCCUGGGACUGACCUUGAUGGAGACUGCUCAGAUCUUCUCUGCUGAUUCUUCCGUUGUCCAUACCUCAGAGGUGGAAACAACUCAAGUGUCCAUCAACAGAUGAAUGGAUAAACAAAAUGUGGUAUACAUAUACAAUGAGAUAUUAUUCAGUGAUUAAAAUGAAUGAAGUUCUGAUACAUCCUAUGACAUGGAGGAACCUUGAAAACUUUAUGCUAAGUGAAUGAAGCCAGACACAAAAGGACAAAUAUUGUAUGAUGCCACUUAUAUGUGGUACCUAACAUAGGGAAAUUCUUAGAAACAGAAAAUCGAUUACUGGUCACUAGGAACUAGGAGAGGGAGGAAUGAGGAGUUAUUGUUUAAUGGGUACAGAGUUUCUGUUUGGGGUGAUGAAAAAAAUUUGGAAAUAGCUAGUGGUGACGGUUGCCUAACAUUGUGAAUGUAAUAAACACCACUAAAUUGUACAUAUAAAA